AGAAUCAACGCUGGCGGCGUGCCUAACACAUGCAAGUCGAACGAGAAAGUGGAGCAAUCCAUGAGUAAAGUGGCGACCGGGUGAGUAACACGUGACUAACCUACCUUCGAGUGGGGGAUAACCUAGGGAAACCUGGGCUAAUACCGCAUAACAUCUUUGGAUCGGAAGAACUGGAGAUCAGAGGAGCAAUUCGCUUGAAGAGGGGGUCGCGGCUGAUUAGCUAGUUGGCGGGGUAAUGGCCCACCAAGGCUUUGAUCGGUAGCCGGCCUGAGAGGGCGCACGGCCACACUGGAACUGAAACACGGUCCAGACUCCUACGGGAGGCAGCAGUGGGGAAUUUUGCGCAAUGGGGGAAACCCUGAUGCAGCAACGCCGCGUGGAGGAUGAAGUCCCUUGGGACGUAAACUCCUUUCGACCGGGACGAUUAUGACGGUACCGGUGGAAGAAGCCCCGGCUAACUUCGUGCCAGCAGCCGCGGUAAUACGAGGGGGGCAAGCGUUGUUCGGAAUUAUUGGGCGUAAAGAGCGCGUAGGCGGUGCGGUAAGUCACCUGUGAAAUCUAUGGGCUCAACUCAUAGUCUGCAUGAGAAACUGCCGGGCUUGAGUAUGGGAGAGGUGAGUGGAAUUUCCGGUGUAGCGGUGAAAUGCGUAGAUAUCGGAAGGAACACCUGUGGCGAAAGCGGCUCACUGGACCAUAACUGACGCUGAUGCACGAAAGCUAGGGGAGCAAACAGGAUUAGAUACCCUGGUAGUCCACGCUGUAAACGAUGAACACUUGGUGUGGCGGGAGUUGACCCCUGCCGUGCCGUAGCUAACGCGAUAAGUGUUCCGCCUGGGGAGUACGGUCGCAAGGCUGAA
rnacentral:rRNA from 1 species